GUCUAGUGUUGCUUGGAUUCUUCAACUUCAAGAUGGAACAACCAAUAUUUUAGGUCUUCAAACCGUCAUAGGGGCGUUUCCUCCCUUCGUAUGGAGUUGCAUAUAUUUUUAUUGGUUGGGUCAAGCACAAAUAAGGAUCAUUUUAUUUUUUUUCGAAUAAGGAUCAUUAUUACUUCUCUCGUUUGUUACAAUUUCAAUAAAUUACUGCAAAGAGUAAAACAACCAUCUCCAAGGGCCUUCUCUUCCGAGUUGCA